GGGCAGUUGGCGGAAUGGUCAACGCAUCUCCUGUCUGAUGUCUCCUCGUUUGUGCAUGUACUUGUUGUUGAUGUGGCAGCGGCAAAGGCACCGGCGGCGGCGGCAAAGACAAACGGAGAAGAUUCCAGGUUCGAUUCCUGGACUGUCCA